rnacentral:tRNA from 1 species
GGAGGAUUAGCUCAGUUGGGAGAGCGUCUGCCUUACAAGCAGAGGGUCACAGGUUCGAGUCCUGUAUCCUCCA